UACGGGGGGGGGCAAGCGUUGUUCGGAAUUACUGGGCGUAAAGGGCGCGUAGGCGGCUCGCUAAGUCGGAUGUGAAAACUCUGGGCUCAACCCAGAGCCUGCAUUCGAAACUGACGAGCUGGAGUUCUGGAGGGGAAAGCGGAAUUCCUGGUGUAGCGGUGAAAUGCGUAGAUAUCAGGAGGAACACCGGUGGCGAAGGCGGCUUUCUGGACAGAAACUGACGCUGAUGCGCGAAAGCUAGGGGAGCAAA
rnacentral:rRNA from 1 species